UACGGAGGGUGCAAGCGUUAUCCGGAUUCACUGGGUUUAAAGGGUGCGUAGGUGGGUUGGUAAGUCAGUGGUGAAAUCUCCGAGCUUAACUUGGAAACUGCCAUUGAUACUAUCAGUCUUGAAUAUUGUGGAGGUCAGCGGAAUAUGUCAUGUAGCGGUGAAAUGCUUAGAUAUGACAUAGAACACCAAUUGCGAAGGCAGCUGGCUACACAUAUAUUGACACUGAGGCACGAAAGCGUGGGGAUCGAACAGG
rnacentral:rRNA from 1 species